rnacentral:rRNA from 1 species
AUACGUAGGGUGCGAGCGUUGUCCGGAAUUACUGGGCGUAAAGAGCUCGUAGGUGGUUUGUCGCGUCGUCUGUGAAAUUCCGGGGCUUAACUCCGGGCGUGCAGGCGAUACGGGCAUAACUUGAGUACUGUAGGGGAGACUGGAAUUCCUGGUGUAGCGGUGAAAUGCGCAGAUAUCAGGAGGAACACCGGUGGCGAAGGCGGGUCUCUGGGCAGUAACUGACGCUGAGGAGCGAAAGCAUGGGUAGCGAACAGGAUUAGAUACCCUGGUAGUCCAUGCCGUAAACGGUGGGCGCUAGGUGUAGGGGUCUUCCACGACUUCUGUGCCGUAGCUAACGCAUUAAGCGCCCCGCCUGGGGAGUACGGCCGUAAGGCUAAAACUCAAAGGAAUUGACGGGG